UUAAGAAUUAGAGAAGACACUCAGAAAAAUUGCACAACAACCUUCAUGGGCAUCUAUUAUGCGCAAACAUUUCCCUUUGGCAUGGAUCCCAUCAACAAAAGUUUCUUCAUAAUUCUUCCCAAAAUCCUGCAAUAUUUGUUGCAUUCAAAACUUUAUUGACUUGGCUGCUAAAGUCUUGAAAUUGAAGAGUGAAGGUAGGCCACACUAUGACAUUGAGUUGGUUCUGGUACUUGACAGAGUUUUUCUCAUUUUCCAGUGUGGAAUGACAUAAAUGGAAUUUGUCUGGGCAUACAGUUGGGAGCAUUGUGGCAUUUUACUAAAUGAAAGGUUCCAAAUGGUGUUACCAUGCUCUUUGGAUUAUCUGUCUAAUGGUUAUUUGCAGGACCAUGUGACUAUAAUAUUACUAAAUUGGGCAUGUGAACUUUUUGGGUUUCAGUCUGGUGAAUGACCUCAGCCAAAACCUUACUUUUGGCUAGGAUAUUUUGCUGCUUAUGUGACUCUAUUUACAUCGGAUCCUCUCCCUAAGUGUACUUCCCAGUUCCCAGACUUAUGGAGAAGGCCAGUGACUUGGCUAAAGUUGUUAAACUUGUAUUCAAAUGACAUUGCUGAAUCAAGAAUAGAGAUGAGCAUCUGUAACUUGAGGCCAAUUGCAACUCAUGGUGAAUGAUUAUGGAUAAUCCUCGUAAUAUGCAGAUUAGGGUCUUGAAGUAGUCACAUUAUCCCCUAUAUGAUGAAAG
rnacentral:misc_RNA from 1 species